rnacentral:tRNA from 1 species
ACGGCAAUGGUCUAGUGGUAUGAUACGAGCUUCCCAAGCUUGUGCCCCGGGUUCAAUUCAAGGAGGCUCCUUUGAGAUGCAAAGGAGUCUUCAGGUGAAAAUCCCGGUUGCCGUA